rnacentral:misc_RNA from 1 species
GAACUUCAUUUGCGUCGAAGUUUCCGAAGAUUUGUUGCGGUUUGGUGUGUCUUUUAUUUUUUACGUAGAACUCAUAUCGAUCCGAUAUGCCGCGUCCGAAAAUGGAUUUUGCGACUAAUAAGUGGCGAUGCACCACGCGAGCAAGAAUGAACAGCCCUGGAGGUUAUGGGCACUGCUCAAUUGGCUCAUUCCUCGGUGCUUCUCGAAGGCCUGGUCAAGGAGGAGUUGCUCAGUGAACUACUAGUUUGAGUUCCCUGAGACGGACACCACUGACAUCACCUACAGUGCCGAGGUACAGGCUUAAUGGCAGAUAUCAAUAGGAGAUGAUGGUACGCGUCACGUCUGUUUGGUUGGACAGCCACCAAGUUGACUUGGAUGUCAGCGCCUGUUGUCAUCAGAACCUGGUUCUUGUGCUGCCACAUCAUUUUUGGUGGUGGCGCUGUCGUCACCUCCCAGCGCUUGCGCUCCCCGAGUUCCCAUUCAAGAUGGUGCUGCCACGGACUUUGGCUCGUGGGGGUGCCGUCGCUACUGACAAAGCCUGUGCUCCCCGUCGUCCCUGUUGAAAUGGUGGCUAGAACUUGGAGAGGGUUUGCCGCCACAGCCGGUCAGUUCAAGUUCCGCACAUUCUGCCGUAGCCCUUGGGAAUUCGUUCCUUCCAUGUUGAGGUUCUAGUAGGAGAAGUCCACCGCUGUUGAGCUACAUGUCACCACAGCAGUCAAUCUGCAGAGGGGCAUGGCCACGUGACCACACUUAUGAAAUGUUAGAGCCUUGUUGUGGACAUGGAGGCCGGUGUGAGAGAUUUAAUAUGCGUCUGGCACAUCUGCCCGGUGAAAGAACUCAUGGGUGUGCCACAUGGAAAGUGAGCAGACUGUGCAAGUCUCUUUUACAAAAUGGCGCUAACAAUAGGUAGUGUCUGAAUCAUUCUUGUCUUACGUAGGUGAUACUUUCUAGGCGUAAUGUGUUAGUAGAUAGCUAUGGUGUUAUUGCUUAACUCUGAACAAGAUACAAAGUAUGAGACAUUUUCAGGCCAAGUAAAAAAUUUCUGCUCACUUUAAUCUUGAAGAUCUUCCAGAGUUUCACAUCAUCCAGCAAUCCUGAAGGCGAUGCACCACAUGUAAUUAUAAUUAAUAUUCCCGCUCUUAGUUUACCAGGAAGGUGUUUAAAAAAUUGUAAGUAGUGUUAGUUGCUUAGGAGAGCGAUGUGUUGCACCUUGGCGUUCCAUUCACUUUGGGAUGAGGUGCUUCAUUCUUGUGCGUCCUUGGUUGUUUCCUUAGCCCCUAAAGAUGUUGGAGAUUUAUAUGUUUUAUUUUGGGGGAAACCAUGUUAUGUUAGUAUCUGGCAUGCUUUUUUUUAUUGCUGAAAGCUGUUUGAAGUGAGCCUUUUGUCCACCUAAGAGCAUAAUGAUUGGGAGCUUCACUCAGGUGUGUUUUCUGGCCACACCGCAGAGCAUGAUUGUAAGCAUCGACGCAUGCUAUUGAUACCAUGAUUGGGACUUCAGAGAAGAUCAGUCAAGUCUUCCUAUUUUUAUUUCCAUUGAUUCUUUCUUUGGCAUUCUAGAUAUCUUUUUGUAAACGUGUUCACGUAAGCUUGUUCAACUUUCUGGGUCAUAGUAUCGGGUCGUUCUGUAAUUAUCAUAUGCUUUAUGCAUUUGUCAUUAGUCUCAUCUGAAGUUGUCAUGGGCACAUGGCUGACACAGUUGGUGCUGCUUUGAUUUGGAGGGUAAAUAUUGUCCGCCAUAGGUCUAGCAAACUUCAUAUAUUCUACACUUCAAAAUUUUCUCGUAGACCUGAUUACUAGGCAAUAAGCUCCUUUUCAAUAUGUGCGUUUACUUAAAUUGAAAAGCCAAAAGGCUUUUAAUAAUCAGCCACAUGCAGAAUAAGAACAGUGUUUCUGCCACCUAGUGUGGGAGAAAAUGGGUGGGAGGGGAUGGAGGCCAAAGCAAACGCAAGCAGUGUGAAUACAACUCUAGGACUUAUAUGCGGGGUAAGUGAGGAAUUUGAACUGUCUACCUAGACCAUGUAGCUCACACAUUUAGCAGAGGAUAAUUGGGUUUGAUUUAACAAGGUAUUGGGGUGGUUGUAAAGCUCCUAUACAGCCCCGCAUGGAGUCACCCUGCAUGCACUGAUCUAGACUGCUCGUUUCACAUAGAUUUUUGUGACCUAUUGAUCUAACUGCUUCUUUUAUUUGCAAAUUUUUGUGUUAUUCAGGAUAAUUGGGAACCCAGCAAAAGGUUGGCAUGUCAUGGAGUAAACAUGCCAUUGUACAGUGUGCUUCACUCUAAAAUGUAAUGCAUGGACAGUGGCCAAAGCUGAUGACACUUGUCUAAUGAGGAAAUCAAUGAUACUGCACAAACUGAAGCAUAUCUUCCUGGGACCGUUGCCAUUCCCCUAUACAAUUAUUGCAUGACCUCCUUGUUUUUUUUUUAUUGCCCUCAGUUAAUUUGACCAGGACUGGAUUGCUGUUAUCCUUAAUGGGUCGGCGUGUCACGUUUAUCUUGAGGUCCAAUUAACGGGAAAUUUGUUUUGAUAAGUUAAAUAAGGGGAACAACAAAAUAUUCAGAGCAAUGUCUUUUUUUUUCUUUCUAUUUUUUUGCAUCACCGAAACAUUUAUUGGUCACCGCAUUGAAACUGGGAGUGUAACGCACGAAGAGAACUGCAGUGUGACCCUCCAGUCUCUGCCGUCAGACGAUGCACACAUUCUGCAACGAUCCAGUGUUACAUUCCUGUGGCUUUUUGGUUGUUUCCCAAUUAUUGAAGGGAGUUGCAGGCUUAUCAUGGGCGACAUAGUGCUUUGCUCGCACCUUCACGGAGUACAGCAAUGUGGGGAAGCAAGUCGAGGACAGCCUGUCUCGAUUUCUGUCCCGGGGGCGCUAUGCUCUUCCAGCUGACACCUUACAGACAUGUCAGGAAGCAAGGAAAGGUUAUUUUUUCACUCAUCGUUUACAUUUGGGUGAUUAACUUAGUCUUGAAAAAAAAACACGUCAUUUUAAUGACAUUGUGAUAAAUAAAUUUUGGGUCUUUAAAUUGUCCUUCAA